rnacentral:lncRNA from 1 species
GUCAGACUUCAGCAGGGCUUCACAGAGGUAGCAGCCCCUGGAUUUGGAUAGGUUUUCUCUCCUACUCUGUUUGCCUGUAUCUUAUUAAGUAUCUAAAGUACUUGCUACUUCUUAUCAGAUGCACAUAGUAUAACGUCAUCAACAAAGUGAUUGAUGUGGCACCUUUGGAGUGUCCAGAUGAUCAAGAGCUCUGUGGGCUGUAUGAUGGCAGAGAGCAGACUGAGAGGUCCUGAGGCACCAGUGUGAAGGUACACCAUUGGUCUGGCCAGGCAAAAGCAAAUGGUUUCUGGUGGUCCUUUCAAACUAUGUGAAGAAAAAGACACCCACUUUUCAGUGGCUGCAUGCCCAGCGCUGGGGGCUUGUUGCAUGUUGCAGUAAGGGCACUACCUCUGGAACAGCAGGGAUAAUUGGUGUCACCACUGGAUUAAAUUUACUGUGGUUGGGCUGGGGGUAUAGCUCAGUAGAGUGGUAGAGUGCUUGUCUCACAUGCAUAAGGCCCUGGGUUCAAUCCCCAGCACCACCACCACACACACACAAAAAAUUACUGUGGUUCACAUUCAUCAAGAUAUGCUAACUUCUGGGCUGGGGUUGUGGCUAAGUGGUAGAGCACUUGAUUAGAAUGUGUGAGGCACUGGCUUUAAUUCUCAGCACCAUAUAUAAAUAAAUAAAGGUUCAUGACAAAAUACUUCUUAAAAAAUGAUAACUGCUGCACAAUGGGAUGUGCACAGCCACCUCUGCUGUUUAAAGUCUG